GGCUGUUUAAUUCAGUUGGUUAGAGUGUGGUGUUAAUAACACCAGGCUUACAGGUUCAAUUCCUGGUUGGGCUA
rnacentral:tRNA from 1 species